UUUAAAUUACUUUUAUUAUCAACUCCUAGCAAAGAAAGAUGCGUAGCUAAGAAGCAGUAGCAGUUUUCUGCAGGCAACUUUGUUGCAAACUAGUCAAGAAUAGCUACUCUGCCAGGAUCUCUAAGUUUCGAACGGAGGAGUAUACCAGCCAAGGCCCCAGUGAAGGAUCAUUUCCCAACAUUCGCCUCUAGCAAAGAAAGACGCAUAACCUGGAAACAGUGACAGUUUUUUUUAUUCAACUUCUUAGCAAAGUAGUCUACAGUAGUUACUGUGUCAGGAUCUCCUGGUUUUCAACGAAACAGUCAACCCGCCAAGGACCAGAGCAAGGGAUCACUUCAGAGGUAAGCUUUGUGUGCGUAUAUAGCAAGCAUUAUGUAGCUAGUAUAAGCCUUCAUAAGCCUUUGAGCUGAUUUAAUAUGCUUAUGCACUUGCCUAGAUAGUUUAUGAGUGUGUGAAGUAUACUUGUGUAGAAGCUGAGUUAGUUUAGAGCCUGUUUUUAGAGUGUAGUGUACAGUGUUUGAUAUUCAAUUUAUUUGUUUCGGUGUGGCAAAGAAAGAUGCACCCCUUAGUAACAGUAACGGUUAUCUUCAAGCUGCCUUGUAGUUUUAUCUGAACAGUCGAAGAGUCAACCAGCCAAGGACAGAGCGAAAGAUUACUUUAGAGCUGUGAAGAAUGCUGGACACCGGAAAGUUUGGGCCAACGGAUUGGUUGAGAUGGUGGGAGUCCAUAGGCAGGCCAGGAGUGGAACUGCUUACAGUAAGUGGUGUUUGUGUGUGUGUGUGCGUGUGUGUAUGUGUGUGUG